ensembl:lncRNA
AGAAGAAGAAGAAGAAGAAGAAGAAGAAGAAGAAGAAGAAGAAGAAGAAGAAGAAGAAGAAGAAGAAGAAGAAGAAGGCUGGAGAGAAGGCUCUGUAGUUAAGAGCACUUGCUGCUCUUGCAGAGAACCCAGGUUGGCUCACAUAGUGGCUCACCAUUCAUACUUCCAGUUCCAGGGGAUCUAAUGUUCUCUUUUGGCCUCCGAGGGCAAUAUAUACAUGUGGUAUACAUACAUACACACAAGCAAAUCACUCAUAUAGAGAAAACAAAACAAAUAAAUCUUUAAAAGAAUUUAAAAAUGAAAAGGGGGGCAUCCAGGGAUCUGACUCAGUAGCAGCAUGAGUGCCCAGCAUACACAAAGGACAUGAAUUCACUUUCCAGUAAAACCACCAUUGCACAAUCUCAAAUGAAAACCAGAUUACAUUAAAGAUAACCAAUUAAUGCCAAAGCCAGUAUGUGAAAUAGUUUGGAGGACACCAUAUCCUGAUGACAAUACAACAUACCAAAGUAUCAUUCCAGAGGCUACUGGCCAAUUGCAGAGCUGAGGUUUCCAGAGCUCAGAGCUGGUGGUUAGUACCUUCAUCAUAUAAUCAAGUCUAGCACUACCCACAAUGCUUCCUGACAUGAAACAAAGCUAAGUGCCCUAUCUCACUUCUGAAGGACUCUGAUGCCAAUGCUCACUCUCGGACUCUCACUUUCACUCCAGUCUACAUGGAGUGAACCAUAGUUAAUCCAAAUGAGGACAUCUGAAGAGUGUAAGGCUUACAAGUAUGCUAAGACCACAGUGCACAGGCAAAAUAUUAGGCAAACUGGGAAAUGAGAUCCUUAAGAAAUAAAGAAUAUAGAAGAAAAAGUUGUAACAUGCAAAGGAGACAAUAAUGGUGGUUUUUUGUUUUGUUUGGGGGGAUAGUUGCUAUUAUUUUUGUUUUUAUUUUUUAAUACAGAUGUAGAAAUUCUAUGAGGCAACCACUUGGUCUUGAAAGAGAGAAAAGAGGGGAGGAAGAAGGAAAGGAAAAAAAUAAGAGGAACUGUUCAAAGCUAAACCAGACUCAAGAGCCAUGACAAUCAAGUACAAUCAAUGCAUGACCCUAAUUUGGAUGUUGGUUUAAGGAAAUGAACUACAUAGAUUGUUUGAAUCAACUGCAGAGAUUUUAUUGUGAUCUGGAUAUUAAGUGGUAUUAACAAUUUAGGUGAUGUUAGCAAUUUAGGAAUUGUUUGUUGGUUGAGGGGUGGUGUAGACGGUCCUACUUAGACAAUUUUUGGGUGGUAGGUGCUGAUGGACUUAAAGUGUAAGGGUCAUGAUUCCUCUAACUUAUUUUCAAAUGGUCAUUAAAAAUGUUGGCGUGACUGGACAGGGUGAUGGGACACGGGUUUUAUUGUACCAAUCUUUCAGCUUGUCUCCGAGUUUGCAAUGCUAAUGUUUAAAGCUACUGCAGUAUUCCAGAUGGUUGUCACUGCCAAGCCCCUAUGCAGAAGCAACAGGGUGUUGGGGCUGCCCAGUGUCCCAGGCAAGGUUCUCAAUAUGAAGCACAAAAGGUAUAGAACUCAUGACCCUCCUGCCUCUGCCUCUGAAGUGCUGGGAUUAUAGACAGCAUUGCCACACCUGGCUGUGAUCUUUCUUCACAGCAAACAUAAAGCUAGGAUGUGGUUUAGCUGUGACUUCCUUGUUAAAUCCGGUUGAUAGUGGAAGACUGCAAAGGAAUGAGCCAAACACAGCUGGUGAGACAGCAGCCUCGGUUCUAACUCAGGCAGUGAACUGAGCAACAGCGACUGAAAUCCUAAGCAUUUGCGACGAUGGCAAACUCUUCCCGAACUGAGUCUGUGCACAGAGUAAACUGUCCUAAAAAUGAGUCCAGGAAGUCACUGCUAGUCUAACUGGCCUGGCAGAGACACUUUUAUCUUCCAUCUGACUCUCAGACUACUGAAACAAUGGACCACAAGAAGCUGGAAUUCCCCCAAGAAUCUCAAGCUGAGAGAAGAAAAGACCUAAACCUAGACCAGCCAGGAAAGGGAUUUACAACCUGUCAUUUCACCUUCCCGAAAGGUCAGUGGCUGGCGGGACCACACCUUGACUGAAGACUUCUGAGCUACGCAUAACUCUGGUUAAACUUUAACCCCUCAUCAGGACCCUGCAGAUGGACUUGGGCGGGUCACUAGACUUCUUUGUCUCCCUUCCCAGUGUGGCAACAUUGAAUGUAGCUCUGUUUUAAGCUCUCACUGUUAAAAUGUCUGCUUUAAUUAGUUUAUCAAGGACAGGUGGCACGAACUGAGGAAUCAAACUUUAUUUCUUCAGUGACUCUCCCUUUAUCAUCAACUUCAAUGCUGUGGGUUUCCGUGAGGUCUCCAUUCUACCUGAGUGUCUUGUCCACCUUCAAACUAUGUCUCUAGUCUCCUAGAGGCCCAGAUCCCUCAAUGCUGACCUCACCAGCAUCUCCUUCACCAUGAAUCCAGAAUGUUCUCCUCUGGUAGAUUCUCCAUACUUGGGAGUGGCCCAGUUUCUUUUGUUCUUGUAUUCAGUCAGAUUUAGCAGAUAAACAUAGAGGAUAUAAAGGAUAGAUACCCAGUUCAAUUUUAGAUAAACAAGUGGAUACAUAGUUAGGAAAAGCCUGUCCCAAAUACUGCAUAGAAUUCUAUAUUUUUAACUUACAAAUCCAUGAUCAGGAAACCAAGGCCUGGAGAAUGAACCAACUUACAAAUAUUUUUAUUUAUUAUUUAUAUUUUAUGUGUAUGAGUGUUUUGCCUAGAUGCAUAUAUGUGCACCAUGAGCACUCCUGGUGCCCCAGAUGCCAGAGGAGGCUGUUGGAUCUCCUGGAACUGAUGUUCCGGAUGGUUGUGAGCUGCCAUGUGAAUGCUGGUAGCAGAACCUGCGUCCCCAGGAAGGGCAAUAAGUGCCCUUAACAGCUGAGCCAUCCCUCCAGCCCUUGAAAAAUCUAAAAUAGAUCAAGAUUCAACCUAGAAGGAAACAAGAAAGAACUAAGACUGACUCACUCCAAUCUAGAGAGAGUGUUCUUUUUACAAAGAUAACCGUGUCUCUGGUCAGAACAAGGAAGCCGGUUGUUUAUGAAAAGAAUUUUGUGUGUGCCUUAAUGUUACUAAACUAUCAAUGUAGUCCCUUAGGGUGAGUUGGCUUAUGAAAGGUGUCCUAUCCCAGCCUCGAACUGUCCAAGGGAAGAAGUCAAAUUCCCUCUUGCAUAACCAAGUGAGGACUGACAGACUAGAAACUUCAGCAGCUUUGAAGUUGGAAUGGAAAAAUCAAAUGGGUCAGUGUCAUUCUCUGAGACCACCCCCAUUUUGUUCCUUUAUAAACAAGAGGACCCUGCAUCUAAGAAGGAACGGGUAUCUAUGCAAGGUCACGUCACAGAAGCAGACAUUCAAUACUGGCCUGCAAUAUAACGCAUACAGAGAUUUUCCAAACUAGGAAAUAAGUGGCAAACCCCAUAGAAAAGUGAGCAAAUGCAAACAAGGUUAUAUAAACAAGCACAUAAUCUUACCAAACCAAAGAAAUUCAAAUAAAGCAAGCAUGAGAUGCCAGUUCUUUUUUUUUUUUUUUUAAAGUGAUCCAAAGUUAUAUUAUUUAUGGCACACUUAGUUACAAGGAAAUGGGUAAACUGUUUUCCACAAACUUAAUGCGUAAUCAAGCUGUGAUGGGCAAAGGAACACAGAGCACACAAAACAGAUAUUAAAUACAUGGCUGUCACAAAACCAAAGGGCAUGCAUAUAAAUAAAUAUGGUGUGAUAAAAUGUUUGAUUUUUAACAAUUACAAACAAAUGCAUGUCUUAUAAUCAACUGGGUAAAUAUACUAAGGGAAAAAAAGCAACACACCUGGAGGGAAAAAUGGGCACUAGAAUAAUAAUAAAAGUAAAUGUCAGCACUAGUAGCUCAUUUUUUUAUUAGUUCAAAUUAGAAACAAGCUUGCUUCACAUGACAAUCCCUUCUCCCUCUCCCUCUCCCUCCCCAACCUCCCACCAGCCCCCACCUCACCCCGCCUCUGCUCCCCAGGGAGGGUAAGGCCCUCCAUGGGGGUUCCCCAAAGUCUGUCAUAUCAUCCUUAGAGGUACCAAUUCUUAAGUCUUCAAAAAUAAUUUAAAGAUGUGGUCCUACUCAGGCUUGUCAAAGGGUUUGAUCUUGUUGAUAAAGGACUGGCUACUGAUAGAAACUUCUUAAACAGUGUUUGAUAACAGGUCUCAGGAUUCUUAAAAUGGCUUUGUAUUUAAAGAAAGGUGAAAAAUUUAGACAUUAUCCCUAAGCUUAGGGUUUACUUUCAAUAGUGUAAAUGUAGAGUACACCUUGAGAUGAUAAGUUACUUAAUGUUUAAAUGUCAAAUAUGUAAAAUCAGUAUUUCAUUUAGGAAUUUUUCAAAUACAAACAAUAGACAACCCAUGAAUGACCCAAUAGUCCUGGGCUGGGCAGGCUGCCAAACUCAGGACCCAAGCAUCACGCUUAAGACUAUUUCUCCCUUAUUCUGGGCCACUUGCUUAGUUCCUUCCACCAAGAUGGCCAGAUGGCUCUUGUUCAAUGAGUUGCUGGAUCUAGCACAUAUCAAUUAUUCAGAGACAAUAGUCAACUUGUAGAGAAUUUUGUGAACCUGUAUUUAACAAUGUUGUUAUUUGAAACAUGAUAUACAUGGGAUUAAAAUUAAAUGUGUUGAAAAAAAUAAAUGUAACAGGUCCAUUUAAAUCAUCUAUUCCUAGUUAAAUUUCUAUGAUGGAUGAUUUUGAGGUUAGUCACAUCUUCUGUAUCUAUCUGUAUGUGAGGGAGACUAUGACAGAGCUUCUAAUCCACUGUGGUGAACGGUUUUCAGGAAGAGACCAAUGCUAUAAAUCAGGGACCCCCUCCCCCCCCCCAGAUCCAGUGCUUGAAUAUUUACCACCGCAGCAUCAUUCUGGCUGUCAGAGGCUUCCAGCGCCUCAGAUUCAGUUCAACAGGAUGGAGAUAACCCAUACUAUUGAUAACCCUCAGUUGUAGGAAAGUUCAGCCUGAUCAUACACUGUAUAAACUGAUGAUGUCACUGCUCCAUGGUAUGGUGAAGGGAAGAGUUUCAUUGUAGGUAUGAGAGACAGGACAGCCAGAGGCAUCUGGAAGAGUCCAGAGCAGAGAAAGAAAUUAAUAGACUGAAUAUGGCCAGCAGACUGGGCCUGGUCGGGAGACAAUCGGGAGCAGAGGGCAGGGGAGGGGUGUGAGAGAAGAAGACGAAGAAAGGACCAAGAGAGGGAAAAAAAGGGGACCGAGGGGGAGCAUAGUCAAAACAGCAGGGUUAUAAGGAGAGUGAGAAACUUGGAGGAGGGAAGCCCACAAGCUGGAGUCGAUGGUGGAGGGGGAAGAGCUGGGUACUUGUGAUUCGGAGGAAGGGAGCCUGGAGCCCAGAAUGCACUUUGCUCUGUCAAUAGGCCUCACAGGUAGCCAUUUGUUCCUCCCAUCAGAGGAAAGGGAAAUGGUUCCUUUGGUGGAGGAGAACUGGCUAUUGUCUAACAGCCAGAAUUUGGGGACAUGGAAAUUUCUUUGGGUCUGACACAUACUUAGGUCAUCUCUGAACUAAGCAUGAAGACUGGGGGAAAGCCAUGCUGGACUCCACUGUGGAACCAGAUCAGAGACCCACCCAGAUCUGCAAAGUGAGUCCCUAAAGAAGACCAAGAAUUGUCAAUAAAAAGGGGUAGCAUGGCCGGGCGUUGGUGGUGCUCGCCUUUAAUCCCAGCACUCGGGAGGCCGGGGCAGGCAGAUCUCUGUGAGUUCGAGGCCAGCCUGGUCUCCAGAGCGAGUGCCAGGAUAGGCUCCAAAGCUACACAGAGAAACCCUGUCUCGAAAAACCAAAAAAAAAAAAAAAAAAAAAAAAUGGGGGGUAGCAUGGUGACUCAGGAAACCUCACAGUACAGCCAACCAUCAUUUGUAAAGUAACAGUUUAAGACUCCUUCCCACUCUCAAGCCUUCCCUUUGGAGGGGCAAUGUCUUCACUCUUUUUCUUCUUCAAUCCUGCUUUUUUGCACAAAGCUUGAUGCCACCUUAGACAAAUGAAACAUACAACCAGCAUUAGGUAGACCCCUGAAAUCCUUUUUUAAAAAUGAAUUUAAAUCCUUUCUUCUUUUGAGGAGUUCUUAGGCAAGUGAAGGCAGCAUCAUGUGUAAGCAAACAAUUAUGAAAUAGCAUGAUUUUUCUGGUGAUAGCAGAAUGCUGCCCUGUGAGCUAGUCUGGGAGCUGGGAAAAUGGGACAGCUCCCCAGGGAGGAGGCUGUGUAAGCGUCAUGAACCCACAAGUAGGAGGAGCCUGGGGAACAGUUGCUAUUCCCAAGGCAGGAUGGGAUGACAGCACUGGAGGCCACCCAGUGUUUCUCCCCCUCUACUUUCUGAGCUCUGUGGGCAUCUCAGGAAGACUUUCCUUCCUCUCUUGCCUCCUUCUCUGUGCUCAGUCAGAAGGAUAAAACCGGAACAAAACAUAACAAAAGCUCCAGUUGGUGCCCUUGAAGAACACACAGGCUUUCAACUAAGCCUUCAAAGGGCCUGGGCCAUUUGGAUCUUCCGUGCUGCUGUACUGGAAUUCGUGCUGCUGGAGUGUUCAAAGCCAACAGGUUGACAUUGUUAGCUUUCUUCUCCCCCAUUACUGUGUUACCAGCUGUUCUGUUUUCUAUUUUCAUCACAAGGGCAAACAUUUCUGCAACAGCCUUUUGAGCCUGGGGACCAAAGCACCAUUUUUAGCUUUGCUUCCGUGGGAACAAUGUAUUUUCCAGUGCAUAACAACCAACCUACAAGUAAAUGAUUGAACUGAACUCAACUACAAUGAGCUUCCUGUAAUAUUUUACACACCCCAGUGCUACAGAAGUGUGUGUGUGUGUGUGUGUGUGUGUGUGUGUUGAAAUUUCUAAAUAUGGACUCUAGAUGCUGCAUUUUCAGAGUGACUGAUUGUGACUAUACUCUCUUUAAAGCAACA